UUAAAUUGAAGAGUUUGAUCAUGGCUCAGAUUGAACGCUGGCGGCAGGCUUAACACAUGCAAGUCGAACGGUAGCAGAAGAAAACUUGUUUUCUUGCUGACGAGUGGCGGACGGGUGAGUAAUGCUUGGGAAUCUGGCUUAUGGAGGGGGAUAACUACGGGAAACUGUAGCUAAUACCGCGUAAUAUCGAAAGAUUAAAGUAUGGGAUCGUAAGACCAUAUGCCAUAAGAUGAGCCCAAGUGGGAUUAGGUAGUUGGUGGGGUAAAGGCCUACCAAGCCGACGAUCUCUAGCUGGUCUGAGAGGAUGACCAGCCACACUGGAACUGAGACACGGUCCA
rnacentral:rRNA from 1 species